UGCGCCAACUAUUCCCUCUCGUGAGCGCGAGAAGUGUCAGAGCGUUGCCUCCGCCUCGUUUAUUGCCCUUUCCCGUUUGUCCCUUUGUCACGGCUAGCGCUCGUAUAUGCGCUCCGUUGCACUCUCCUAUGAAACGGCGCUAUGGACAUCAACGUUGGCACCAGUUGUGGCGGCAUCGGUAACAUAGGCUGUGACGGCAGCGUGCGCAGCACUGUUGAGCGGAAGAGAGCUCGCGAUGCCGAACGUAAACGGGAGCGCCGGAAAUCAGACGCCAAACUUCGAGCUCGUGAAGUCGCAAGAAAACGGCAACGGCGGCAAUCGGACCCCGAAGUCCGAGCUCGCGAGGCCGAACGUAAACGGCAACGGCGAGCUGAAGACCCCGAACUCCGGGCUCGCGAAGCCGAAGCGCAACGGCAACGCCGAGCUAGAGACAUCGAGAGUGCGAGGCAACGCGAAGCCGAAAAGCAACGGAAACGGCGAGCCGCAAAUCCCGAAGCGUUUAGGCAACGUGAUUCUGCGGCCAGGGCAUUGAGGCGUGCGAGAAAACUGCAACCACCGGGAACUGACGGAGCGACCGCACACUUCCACGACCGACACUUCGGACACAGCUGCUCCGUGUGCGACCGACUUGGGUUCGACAACAACCUAAGCAAGGGAGAGCCUACCUUAUGCGACAAGUGCAAGAAUUCUAGAAGAAAUGCACAGACGGCAACUAUACCACCGUUAAAAGGGGGCGUGGACGUUGCAGUUGGGACCAGAAGACGCGCUGAUCGCAAGUUGUGCAAGUCGACACAGGCAUCAUUGGACCCUUUCAUGGUGGACUGGUGGACGGACACGGCGGAUCUUGAAGAUUUGCAGGACACUGGCACUCAUAGAAGGGAGAGCACAGGUGAAUGUCCAGCGCCACCUGUGCAUGGAUCAUCAGGUCGUCACGAAAGAGUACAAAGCCCCGGAGUUUCCGCCGUACAUAGGAGUCAUCUAGAUAGCCAGGAGGGACCUGCAUCGGGCAGCAGCAACGAGUCACUGGACUCGGCAUCCUUCGUGUCCACAGGACCAAUUGGUGCCGCCUACUCAGAGCAAGGAGCUGAAGUUGCUGUACACCAGACUAUACUUCCAGCAAAUGUGGCCAAACCUGUCACCAUCGAGUUAUCAGCAAAUUUCCUUUACAUGUGCGCAUUUUGUUUGACUGAAUUCGCUGACCUACAAGACCUCGCCGGCCAUGUAGAGGUGUGUCCGUGGCCCGAACCGUAUCUGUGCGGCCUGUGUUCCAAGCCGUGCGAGGACUGGAAGACGACGAGGACCCACAUGGGCGCCCAUGUCGGCAACAAAUUGAAGUGUCCGUUUUGUCACCGUAGGCAUUACAAAUUCAAGUACGACCUUGUGCGCCAUCACAUCAUGCUCCACGUAACUGUCUGUCAGUUUAUGUGUGGCCUGUGCCGAUCGGCGUUCCCAACCAAAAAGGCCCUGCAGUCCCAUCAUUCCGUGUCUCGAUCGAAGGGGCUGCCCUGCAGGUACAUCAAGCACCGGCCACGCAAGGACAAUGUGAGUGGUCCACGACCCGCAGCUUCGACUCGUCAAGGAGCAUUCGUUCAGGUGCAACAUCUGUGCAACGUCUGCUCAUGUGCGAUAUCUGUUCAGUUGUAACAUUUGCCCAGCUGUGUUCAACUGUGGGCCAUUACUGCAACACCACUCGGCCAAUUGUGAGGAUAAGAGACUGCCUAUGCUGGCAUUGAGCCGGAUUAAACUGUACCGAAUGGCCACAAGAAAGGGCCAUUUAAAUGCUUGCAUCUAGACACAUGUCAAUUCGUGUUUAGUUGUUCAUCUUGUGACAUUGAGCGCAUGGAGGAACUGAACUGUUCGCUGCAGUCUUCGUAAAAGAGCCACGGAUGGUCACAGCCGCUAUGGAUGAAAAGGCGGCUCAACGGCAAGCGGAGUUGAAGGCUCGUAGAGCUGCUGCAGCACGUCAACGCCGGCAGACGGACCCUCUGUGGAGGGCUCGCCAAGCUGCAGCAGCACGGCGACGCCGGCAAGCGAACCUGGAGGCGGUGAGAGCACGGGAAGCGGCAGCAGCACGAUUACGCCGGCAACAGAACCCAGAGGCGGUCAGAGCGCGGGAAGCAGCGGCAAAACGCCGGCAGCGUUCAAAAGUUAACCCGAAGUCUAAGGUGCGGAAAACUGCAGAAGCACGGCAACCCGAAUAAUCUCUUGUUGCUUUGCUCACUGGUGAUCAUUUACUCUGUAUAUUCGGUGAUUUUUUUAGUUGUUUUGGUGUGGACUAUGGACGCUUUCUACAUAUGAAUCCCAGACAACAGGUGUGAAAUAUCUCCGAAUUUCAAGUUUUCGUCACCCAGAAUCUGGAAGCCAGCCUCACUGUUAUGAAGAUUAUAACAACGAGCCGUCGCAGUGCACUGUGCGAAUUUCGAAUCAUACAUACGAUCAUAAAACACAGAAAUUGGUGCCGGAAUCGGUGAACGACAAAUCACUUAGCGUUGUUUGUAUGCACAACGUGCGACUGACAAGAUAUGAAAUACGUGCUGCUUAUCUGCUUUGAGAUACUAUGUCCUAGUGACGUAAGGUUGUGUUUAAACAUUGCAGUGAAAUUGCUCCCCUUAUAUGGUUACCAAAAGUGAUCUUUUGUAAUAUAGUGGUAAUAACAUAUAUUCAAUGCAUCGGUAGGCUCUACUAUGUCUUUUAUCGAGGUUUUUGGCACCAUUGUCUUUAUCUUGUGCUACAAUAAAAAAUAUUUGAAUUUCGUGUCAA